CUACUCUUGACAUCCAGAGAAGCCAGCGGAGACGCAGGUGUGCCUUCGGGAGCUCUGAGACAGGUGCUGCAUGGCUGUCGUCAGCUCGUGUUGUGAAAUGUUGGGUUAAGUCCCGCAACGAGCGCAACCCUUACCCUUGUUUGCCAGCGAGUAAUGUCGGGAACUCCAGGGAGACUGCCGGUGAUAAACCGGAGGAAGGUGGGGACGACGUCAAGUCAUCAUGGCCCUUACGAGUAGGGCUACACACGUGCUACAAUGGCGCAUACAGAGGGCAGCCAACUUGCGAAAGUGAGCGAAUCCCAAAAAGUGCGUCGUAGUCCGGAUUGGAGUCUGCAACUCGACUCCAUGAAGUCGGAAUCGCUAGUAAUCGUAGAUCAGAAUGCUACGGUGAAUACGUUCCCGGGUCUUGUA
rnacentral:rRNA from 1 species